CCGAUGCUUUUGACUUGCAAUUCAAUGACUUCAUCCAUCCAGUCGCCAUUAACAAUCGUCCCUUCACCCUUCUUCUUCUCUCUCUCCAGUUUCAAUCUGUAUCUAUCGUAUGCAAGUAUACCCCUCUCUCUCUCUCUCUCUCUCUCUCUCUCUACCCUUAAUAUGAGGUUUUAACGAGGUGGAAAGGAAUGAAAUGGAGAGGACAUGGCGCGAUAGAGAGUGAGAACUAUAUUAUUUUAAAUGAC
rnacentral:lncRNA from 1 species